CCGCCCUCCGGGCUCCUGCUCCCGGGAGCCCCGCAAACCCCGCUCCGCCCGCGCCCCGCACAGCACCGAGGCUCCCGGCCCGGUCCGCCCAGCUGCCCCUCCCCGGGGCCAUGGGGGCACCCCCGGGCUACCGACCCUCUGCCUGGGUGCAUCUCCUCCACCAGCUGCCCCGCGCUGACUUCCAGCUCCGACCGGUGCCCAGCGGUUUUGCGCCCCGCGACCAAGAGUACCAGCAGGCUCUGCUGCUGGUGGCAGCCUUGGCCGGGCUGGGUUUGGGCCUGAGCCUCAUCUUCAUCGCCGUCUACCUCAUCCGCUUCUGCUGCUGCAGGCCCCCAGAACCCCCUGGGGCCAAGAGUCCCCCACCCGGAGGAGGCUGUGUUAUCUGGAGCUGCAUCGCUGCCCUUCUCGUGGGCUGUGCAGGCAUUGGCAUUGGUUUCUAUGGCAACAGCGAGACCAGCGAUGGGGUGUCCCAGCUCAGCUCAGCUCUGCUGCAUGCCAACCACACACUCAGCACCAUUGAUGACUUGGUGCUGGAAACAGUGGAGAGGCUGGGUGAGGCUGUGAGGACUGAGCUGACCACCCUGGAGGAAGUACUAUCAGAACGUGUGGAGCUGGUGGCUGCCACCCGGGGAGCCAGGAGGCAGGCUGAGGCCGUGGCUCAGCACCUACAAGGACUGGCCUUCUGGCAAGGAGUGUCCCUCAGCCCAGUGCAGGUGGCUGAAGAUGUGACUUUUGUGGAGGAGUACAGGUGGCUGGCCUACGUCCUCCUGCUGCUCUUGGUGCUGCUGGUUUGCCUCUUCACCCUCUUGGGCCUGGCGAAGCAGAGCAAGUGGCUGGUGGUUGUGAUGACCGCCAUGAGUCUCCUGGUGCUUGUCCUGAGCUGGGGUUCUAUGGGCCUAGAGGCUGCCACAGCUGUGGGCCUCAGUGACUUCUGUUCCAAUCCAGACACCUACGUGCUGAACCUGACCGAGGAGGAGACAGGGCUCAGCUCAGACAUCCUCAACUAUUAUUUCCUGUGCAACCAGGCGGUCUCCAACCCCUUCCAACAGAGACUGACUCUGUCCCAGCGAGCUCUAGCCAGCAUCCACUCCCAGCUUCAGGGCCUGGAGCGGGAAGCUGUCCCUCAGUUCCCUGCAGCACAGAAGCCCUUGUUAUCUUUGGAGGAGACGCUGAAUGUGACAGAGGGAAGCUUCCACCAGUUGGUGGCACUGUUGCACUGCCGCAGUCUGCACAAGGACUAUGGCUCGGCACUCCGAGGCCUGUGUGAAGAUGCCCUGGAGGGCCUGCUGUUCCUGAUGCUCUUCUCUCUCCUGUCUGCGGGGGCCCUGGCCACCACCCUUUGCAGCCUGCCCCGUGCCUGGGCCCUCUUCCCGCCCAGGUCAGCAGGGGAGAGAGGGCAGGGUCCCCAGGGAGGGGACAGGAGGCAGCACCCAGGGCCACUGGUGGGGAUGGGGCAGCCUCCUGAUGGGUUCCCAUCCUGCUUCUCUGCCACUCCCCACAUCACACUCCAGUGAUGACUACGAUGACACAGAUGAUGACGACCCUUUCAACCCUCAGGAAUCCAAGCGCUUUGUGCAGUGGCAGUCUUCCAUCUGAGCCUCCCCUCCAGCCUGGAGUGGCAUUUCCUGUUAGCUCCUUUCCUGGCUGCUGGAGAAGGCCCCACUAACCUGACCCUGACUGGGCUCUGACCACUAACACUGCUGGCCAUGGACACCUCACAUAGGAUGACAUUCUGCUCUGGCCCCAACAUUCCCCCAUUCCCAUUUGUCUUUAGCACAAGGGACUGCUGAGAUGGCAGAGCAGGGAUCUGGGCUCUCUGGGAAGGGGGCUGACCCACAGCCAGGUGUCCCUCACCUCUGGCUGGCUGCUGGUAUUGUUCUUGGAGGGACUAGGGGAGGCAGGAGUAAGGAUGUCUCUGCUCCUGCCAUAUUCCAGCAAUCUCAACUCAUGGCACUAACUUGGAAGAGGGUUGAUUUGAAAUAAAAGGGAAGACUAUUUUACAAGUAGCUAGGACCUUCUUUUUUUCUCCCCUCCUGGGAGAAGUCCUGACUGAGCUAGAGAGAUAACCCCUUCCCUGACGGUUGAAAGGCAACUCUCCUCUUGUCUAGGUUCAGCACUGCUCUGGUUGUCCUGACAAAGGAAGAGGCAGACCCAGGAAGAGAAUAAAUGUAGCAUUAGAUCUAAACAUGCAUGAAUCCACAGGAACAACAAAGUCGAGCUUCCAGGCAUGUGGAAUGUGAAGGCCUAGUGGGUUUAGGAACGGUGUGGCAUCAACUCACUUCCUAGCAGUUCAAAUCCAGCACAAGAUGUCAGAAAACCUAAGUGUGUGCCAGUAAAGGGGAAGAAGUAUUCAAAGAGAAAGUAGAAUAUUUGUAUGUAGUGCUGCUAAGGUGAUGUAGAAGAGGAAAUGUGAAGAUAUAAAUCUAGACAAGAAAAGAUAAGGCAGUCAAUGAGCUAAAAGCUACAAACAAACCAACAAAUACGGCAGAGGAAAAAGGGAAAUUUAUUGUAUGGGAAUAAUGCCUAUGUAGUUCUCUUUUGUAAAAUGAAAAGAUAAGCACAUAUGACAAAUAAUUCAUAAAAAGACAACUCAGUUUAAAAAUAAGCAACUGAAGUGAACAUACGAAGAAACAAAAAUCCAGAGACAAAACUCAUAAAGUGGUUAAAAUUGUAAUGAUUUCCAAACACAAUGUGCUACUCCCCUGCCCAGUACUUACUUACUGUGACGUUAAAUUGGGGUGCUGUCUGGUGCUGUUCUAGAAGCCCAGAGAAGAGGUGCUCAAAAUAUGCUGCCCAGAGGCUGUGAAUCCCCAGUUGUGUGAAAAUAAACAAACAAACAAACAAACACCUACUUAUCUGUGAAAGAAUGGCAACUGUGAUCCUUUGAGGAACGGCUUCCAGAAAGAGACAAGCAACUGAAGAUGUGUGUGAAGAGCCCUCUGUCCAGGCAACAUUUGGCUUAGUUAAAUGCUGGAGACAAAAAGUCCACAAAAGGAAGAGAAGUGACCUGCUAAGUAGAACUCUCUGGAAGACCAGCAGUUCUCUAAGGGAAGCCAGUAGAGCAGGAUCCUUAGGUUGGGUGUUACAAACAGUGGCAGUCGGGUGCACAAGCACCAGGUGACAGACCCUGAAACGCCCCCACACAGCGGUUGGAUGCACUGCUGAAUGUGGGUAAGUCAGUUGACUCGUUGAACCUCAGUUGCAUCUUCAAGAAAAUGGGUGUCAUAAAUCCAGAAACCUCAGCUCUGACAGGACAGGGAAAAGCAAAAUAAAUGCAACAUGAUGCUCUGGGUUACACACUGGCACACAGAAAACAUUAAAUGAGAAACGUAUCGAAGUCUAAAGUUUGCGGCUUAGUUCAGAGUAUUAAAGCAACGUCAGUCAGUUUCUUACUUUUUAACAAACAAACCAAGGUGAAUCCGAGGUGAUAGCAAUAGGGGAAACUGGGCAUUCUAUGCCUAACUCCUGUAUUAUCUUUGCAACUUUCCCCCCUGUAAACCCAAAUUUAUUCUAAAAUAAAAGUUCAUUAUAAAAAAGAGAUUUGGGAAGAAGCCUACCAUGCUAACAGUAACAAAAUGUUAUAAAGUUAUCGAAGUGUUGUGUAAUAACCAAAAGUCUCUGGUACAAAGUGUGACUAGAAGCUGGGUUAUUAUCAAUUUAACAGGUAUCCCUAAUUGAACAGCACAAUUCAAUCAUUUCUGGUGUAAAGAAUGAGCUUUAAGAAAAGUCUACUGGGCCGGGCGCGCGCCUUUAAUCCCAGCACUUGGGAGGCAGGGGCAGGCGGAUCUCAGUGAGUUCUAGGCCAGCCUGGUUUAAAAGAGCUAGUUCCAGAACAGGCUCCAAAGCUACCGAGAAACCCGGUCUCCCAAAACCAAAAGAAAAAGAGAAAGAGAAAGAAAGGAAGAAAGAAAGAAAGAAAGAAAGAAAGAAAGAAAGAAAGAAAGAAAGAAAGAAAGAAAGAAAGAAAGAAAGAAAAAGAACAUAAAAGAAAAGCCUAUUGUGGCCGGGCGUGAUGGCGCACAACUUUAAUCCCAUAGGAGGGAGGCGGAUCUCCUUGAGUUCCGGGUCAGCCUGAUCAGCACAUACACACAUUCUAGGUUCUGCAAACCUUUCCCUACACCUUCCUCUGCCCCGGCUACCUUUCCAGCGUCACAGCCAAAAGGCUACUCCUCAAGCGACGCGUGUUUCCUGCUUUCUUGGGGUCUCACUCAGUGUUGCUCACGCCAGGUGUGCCAUUCCAGGUUUAAACAAGCCUAUUGGGGGAAGAUUCAUCCUCAUCACUUAUUCACUCCUUUUUUUUUUAAACGUCAUAGCGCUAUGCGCAGCCUCAGAACUCCCGUCCCUAUAGUUUACAUUUUAUGGCUGAUGGUGCUGUCUGGGAGAG